CACAAUGAUAGUCCUAAAACAUUGUCGGCAUAGCCUUUCCAGACGAAAACGCGAGUUUGACCUCCUUCAGAAUGCUUUCACCGGGCACCCACCAUGACUUCCUAUGGUAUUUUGUCUCAGCACUUGCAUAAUGCAUCCAGGUUUCAUUAAGUAAAAUUGUCUUGAUACCAUUGAAGGAAAAUGCAAGCUGCAUUCAUUCGUUACUCUUUACAAACGUUACCGAGCAAAUGUAGCCCCCAUCUCGCAUAACUUUCGUUGACCAUGCUGAAGGAAAUUUGUUCUCAUUAGUAUCAGAGUGCAGUACCAGUGACCCGCCAGUCUCCGUUAACAAUUCUCGGAAUUUCAGAAAAGAAACGUCGUUUCGUGGUGUUAUAGCUGAUCUCCCACUGUACUGUUCAUUGUGCAGAUUUUCACGACCCUGUAUAGAGGACACACCAUUUCAAUGCCUGUAAAGUGUUUUGUAUAAACAGGUGUUAACUGUCA